UAUGGUAAUUGCCAGCAGCCGCGGUAAUACGGAGGCUCCGAGCGUUAUCCGGAUUUAUUGGGUUUAAAGGGAGCGUAGGCGGGUGCUUAAGUCAGUUGUGAAAGUUUGCGGCUCAACCGUAAAAUUGCAGUUGAUACUGGGCGCCUUGAGUGCAGCAUAGGUAGGCGGAAUUCGUGGUGUAGCGGUGAAAUGCUUAGAUAUCACGAAGAACUCCGAUUGCGAAGGCAGCUUACUGGACUGUAACUGACGCUGAUGCUCGAAAGUGUGGGUAUCAAACAGG
rnacentral:rRNA from 1 species